GUAGGACAAAUGGUCGCGGCUGCGAUGCCGAAAGGCUGCAGGUGAGGAAAGUCCGGGCUUCACAGGGCAGGAUGCCAGAUAACGUCUGGUGGAGGCGACUCCAAGGACAGUGCAACAGAAAUGUACCGCCGGCCUUAGGCCGGUAAGGGUGGAAGGGCAGUGUAAGAGACUACCGCCCGGCUGGUAACAGCCGGGGCACAUGUAAACCCCAUCCGAAGCAAGACCGAACAGGGAGCACAAGGCGGCCCGUCUGCUCCCGGGUAGGUCGCUGGAGCCGGCCGGUGACGGCCGGCCUAGAUAGAUGACCAUUCAACGACAUAACCCGGCUUAUCGUCCUGCUCA
rnacentral:RNase_P_RNA from 1 species